rnacentral:rRNA from 1 species
UACGUAGGGUGCGAGCGUUGUCCGGAAUUACUGGGCGUAAAGAGCUCGUAGGUGGUUUGUCGCGUUGUUCGUGAAAACUCACAGCUCAACUGUGGGCGUGCGGGCGAUACGGGCAGACUAGAGUACUGCAGGGGAGACUGGAAUUCCUGGUGUAGCGGUGAAAUGCGCAGAUAUCAGGAGGAACACCGGUGGCGAAGGCGGGUCUCUGGGCCGUAACUGACGCUGAGGAGCGAAGGCGUGGGGAGCGAACAGG